rnacentral:rRNA from 1 species
UGGGGAAUAUUGCACAAUGGGCGCAAGCCUGAUGCAGCCAUGCCGCGUGUAUGAAGAAGGCCUUCGGGUUGUAAAGUACUUUGAGCGAGGAGGAAGGCGGUAAAGUUAAUAACCUUAUCGAUUGACGUUACUCGCAGAAGAAGCACCGGCUAACUCCGUGCCAGCAGCCGCGGUAAUACGGAGGGUGCAAGCGUUAAUCGGAAUUACUGGGCGUAAAGCGCACGCAGGCGGUCUGUCAAGUCGGAUGUGAAAUCCCCGGGCUCAACCUGGGAACUGCAUUCGAAACUGGCAGGCUAGAGUCUUGUAGAGGGGGGUAGAAUUCCAGGUGUAGCGGUGAAAUGCGUAGAGAUCUGGAGGAAUACCGGUGGCGAAGGCGGCCCCCUGGACAAAGACUGACGCUCAGGUGCGAAAGCGUGGGGAGCAAACA